rnacentral:rRNA from 1 species
GCAGCGCGGGGCAACCUGGCGGCGAGUGGCGAACGGGUGAGUAAUAUAUCGGAACGUGCCCUGGAGUGGGGGAUAACGCAGCGAAAGUUGCGCUAAUACCGCAUACGAUCUAAGGAUGAAGGCGGGGGAUUCGCAAGAACCUCGUGCUCCUGGAGCGGCCGAUAUCUGAUUAGCUAGUUGGUGGGGUAAAGGCCUACCAAGGCAUCGAUCAGUAGCUGGUCUGAGAGGACGACCAGCCACACUGGAACUGAGACACGGUCCAGACUCCUACGGGAGGCAGCAGUGGGGAAUUUUGGACAAUGGGCGAAAGCCUGAUCCAGCAAUGCCGCGUGAGUGAAGAAGGCCUUCGGGUUGUAAAGCUCUUUUGUCAGGGAAGAAACGGUGAAGGCUAAUAUCCUUUGCUAAUGACGGUACCUGAAGAAUAAGCACCGGCUAACUACGUGCCAGCAGCCGCGGUAAUACGUAGGGUGCAAGCGUUAAUCGGAAUUACUGGGCGUAAAGCGUGCGCAGGCGGUUUUGUAAGUCUGUCGUGAAAUCCCCGGGCUCAACCUGGGAAUUGCGAUGGAGACUGCAAGGCUAGAAUCUGGCAGAGGGGGGUAGAAUUCCACGUGUAGCAGUGAAAUGCGUAGAGAUGUGGAGGAACACCGAUGGCGAANGCAGCCCCCUGGGUCAAGAUUGACGCUCAUGCACGAAAGCGUGGGGAGCAAACAGGAUUAGAUACCCUGNUAGUCCACGCCCUAAACGAUGUCUACUAGUUGUCGGGUUUUAAUUAACUUGGUAACGCANCUNACGCGUGAAGUAGACCGCCUGGGGAGUACGGUCGCAAGAUUAAAACUCAAGGAAUUGACGGGGACCCGCACAAGCGGUGGNNGAUGUGNAUUAAUUCNAUGCAACGCGAAAAACCUUACCUACCCUUGACNU